CGACUUUCCCGGAGGGCAGAGACCAUGGCUUAUGCUCUUAUAUCUUCUUCCCAGUGCACUUAGAACAAACACGCAGCAAAAGCUCUUCUACCCAGACAGAAAGUCUCAAGGCUUAUUCAAGUGCACCUCCUUCAAAAUCACCUUUUGGGCCUCUUUCAGCAAUGUGUGGCAAGCGGGGAAGGAAAGAAUUACUCUUACUCUCUCUGUUUCCCUUCCUUAUUUCAUUUUGAAAGAAUGGCCUUGAGGUUUAUGUCACUUGCAAUCAAGUGGCAACAAACUUGAUGCCGAGAAUACGUAACUUUUCAAGAGAUCAACAUGACAUAUGCAUAGAUAUUAUAAUGUGUCUCCUUCUAUGUGCAGUCUUUCUGCAAAUGUCAAUGGCUUUUCAGGAUAAGAGACAAUCCUGGGUGAUUGCCACACCUGCUCGUGUCCUGCUAGCAGCCACUUGGAGCUAGAAAUAAGCAGAAAAUCCCCCUAAUGCCUCCAGGAAUAAAGUGGCACACACAUGGCAGCUCCUUUAUUAGCUCUGCAGCACUUAGCUCCAUUGGUGCCUCCAAGCUGUACCAGCAGCAGCAGGUCCUUCAGACAUCAGCUUCUUCAUCAGGAAAAGAAUACUAGACCAGGAGCCUUCUGCCGUAAAGGACCUCAGAGUCUGUUGAAGAAACAAAGCAACAGCAAUUACAUAGCUGUGAGUGUGACGUGAGAAGCUGUUUCAAGUUCCUGCUGCUCUGACUUCAUGGCUAUGGUGACUUAGAACCUGGAAUUGUGAGUUAAAAGAAACCCUUUCUUCAGAAAAUUGCCUUUUGUCUUCGUGGUUUGUCACAGAAACGGAAACGAAACCUGGACACCAAAUGUGAGCGUGAAGACCCCAGUGUGACUGCCCAGAACCUGUGGAAAAGACAACAUGGUAGCACAUAUCUGUAAUCUCAGUGAUCCUUUGUGGAGACAGGAGAUGAGAGACAGGAGAAUCCCCCAAAGCUUAAGGGGAAGCUAGUCUGCUGUAUAUGACGACAAAACAACAAAAUGGGGGCUUCUUGAUUCAAAGAAAGUAGAAGGCAAGGACCAACAAUCAAGAACGUCCUUGAUCUCCACAUAUACUUAGUGGCAAGUGUACACAUGCAUGUAUGUGAGCAAGUAUACAUACCACCCACAUAUAUACAUUAUGCAUGUGUAUACAUCACAAUACACAUAUCAUAUACACAUCACACGUAUCAUACAAACAUCAUAUGUAUAAUCAUACGCACACAAUAAAAAAAAUAAGUAUGUCUCAAAAUGCUUUCUUCAGUGCUCUAACCCAACCCCAUUCCUUACCUCCCUCCUCAUCCCCGAUGUGAAAGGGACUUCAAAGAUUCUCCUCUCCAUGCCUGCAUAAUUUCCCCUCUGCAAGCUGUCAUUUAAGCCGCUACCUUAAUGUCUCAGAACUUCUGGAGACUUGGAAGAGCUCAGAAGGAAAGCAUAGUAUGCUUAAUUAGAGCGAUGGAUGGAAGGCAAAUGGAAGGCUCCUUACCUGCCAGGCACACCUCACACAUCUUCCCUGGCUGAGAAAAAUUCCAUUCUGAAGGGCACUGAAGCUAUUGCUAUCUGGAGCAGCCAGCCAGUGAGAAAUUAUGCUCCGGGUUUCAGCCCAGCCAGCUUUCAUUACUGUUGAAAAAUAUCACCUCAUAAUUCAACCCAGCUCAAGCCUUACCUCCUCUCUGACUUGUUGGCCAUCCCAAUCCUCGGCAAUUCCUCCCACUGCCGACCGAAUUCCUCUAGGAUGGAUGUGAUAACAUGAAAUCACCCAGGACUGGGGCCAGGAUAUUAGCAACUACUCAAAACCUAUCUAUCUCCCGGAGAUCCACUAACACUUAUUAUUGGCAAAAGUCCUUGGGCUCUCAGCAAACUCAACCUGCAUUGUUGUCUUUUAUGUAUCUAUUUUCCAUUUCCCCAACCCAUCUGAAAGCCUGAGGAGGACGAGAUCCCAUGGUACCCUGCCCCACUUCCCAGAAUAAUGAGUUCCACUGUAGGAAGGUCCCCAAAUAACAUUUGUUUAUAGAGAUACUACCCAACUCCCCCAACCCUGACUUGAAGAAUAUCUCGGAAUGUGUCAGAAGGGCAGAGCAAAUAUUCUGUGAAUUAAAGGCUUGCUCUACCACUGAGACGCUUCCA